rnacentral:tRNA from 1 species
UGGCUUAGAUGGUAAAGCGUCUGCCCGCAAUGCAGGAGACCCGGGUUCGAUCCCUGG